GGGCCGGUGGCGCAGUGGAAUGCGUACUGCGUUGGCAUCGCAGAGGUCGCGGGUUCGAGUCCCGCCCGGUCCACCA
rnacentral:tRNA from 1 species